rnacentral:tRNA from 1 species
GCUCGACCGGGCGACGGGGCCGCCUUUGCAAGGCAGGGGUUAGGGGUUCGAGUCCCCUCGGCUCCA